CAGCAGCCGCGGUAACACGUAGGGGGCAAGCGUUGUCCGGAUUUAUUGGGCGUAAAGAGCUCGUAGGCGGUUCGGUAAGUUGGGUGUGAAACCUCCAGGCUCAACCUGGAGACGCCACCCGAUACUGCUGUGACUAGAGUCCGGUAGGGGAGCGUGGAAUUCCUGGUGUAGCGGUGAAAUGCGCAGAUAUCAGGAGGAACACCAGCGGCGAAGGCGGCGCUCUGGGCCGGAACUGACGCUGAGGAGCGAAAGCGUGGGUAGCAAACAGGAUUAGAUACCCUGGUAGUCCACGCCGUAAACGUUGGGCACUAGGUGUGGGGUCUUAUCAACGGAUUCCGUGCCGUAGCUAACGCAUUAAGUGCCCCGCCUGGGGAGUACGGCCGCAAGGCUAAAACUCAAAGGAAUUGACGGGGGCCCGCACAAGCGGCGGAGCAUGUUGCUUAAUUCGAGGCAACGCGAAGAACCUUACCUGGAUUGAACUACGCAGGAAAAGCCACAGAGAUGUGGUGUCCUUCGGGGCCUGUGAGAGGUGGUGCAUGGCC
rnacentral:rRNA from 1 species